rnacentral:misc_RNA from 1 species
UCCGAGUUGACCCCGGCAGUUCCCCUAGAGUGCCCGGCCGAACCGAUGGCAACUAAGGGCGAGGGUUGCGCUCGUUGCGGGACUUAACCCAACAUCUCACGACACGAGCUGACGACAGCCAUGCAGCACCUGUGUGGCGUCCAGCCGAACUGAAGAAACCCGUCUCCGGGUUCCGCGACGCCCACGUCAAGGGCUGGUAAGGUUCUGCGCGUUGCUUCGAAUUAGACCACAUGCUCCACCGCUUGUGCGGGCCCCCGUCAAUUCUUUUGAGUUUUAGCCUUGCGGCCGUACUCCCCAGGCGGGGCACUUAAUGCGUUAGCUGCGGCACGGAAUCCGUUGAGUGAAUCCCACACCUAGUGCCCACCGUUUACGGCGUGGACUAC